AUGAAUGGAGAUAAAUGAUAGAAUGAUGAUGAUUAGAGAUGGUGUCAGCCAUGGAAGUGUAGAACUUGACGACUCUCUGUUCUUGAUGCAUUUUGUGUCCAUUUUCUCUCUCCAGAAAAUGGAGCGAGUGUGUUUUUGGUGGAUGCUUCAACUUUGAAGAAAGAGGUUGCUGAAGGUGUUUGACUUGAUGGUUGUAAGGGAACUUACAGGAGGAAUUUACUUUGGAAAACCAAGAGGAUUUGGAACCGAUGAAAAUGGACGCCGGCGGAGAAAAACACCAAGAUUAUUCGUUUAGAGGGGGUGGCCCACCAAGUAAACCCUCCGUGGUCACAUGUGGGAGGUAGAUUUCUGGGAUCGAGACAUCUUUAGAGAGUUUGAAACCUUCCGGUGUAUUUGCGUUACAUAAAGCACAAAUCGAGUUUUUUACAAGUAAGGAACGAAUCUUGAUAUUUCAGGCCCCUAUGGAAAUAAAAAAUAAUUUUCAUGUUAAAGUGAUGCUAGUAACCAAAGUUAAUAACAUGAUAUUAAAUAUUGAUUAGUGAAAGCUGUAACGUCCGCGUUUUCAGGCUAGACAUUUUCGUUGAUGUAAUAGUCUAGGUUAACCUUUGUAACCCGUUUUGAAA